GUUUGUUUUACUGCAGCCCACUGUGAAGUAGCUCUUCUGUUCCAUGGUAUGCAGAUGUUUUCCUGGAACCUGAGAAAGUCUGUGUUGAGGUGCGUAGAUAUAUACGUUAUACUUCUUGUCCCUAAAGAGCCAGGAACAUGAACUUGGAUGAACAGUCUUCCAAAGGAUACUGUUGUCAUCUAAACCUAAUUCAACUUUGCGAAUAUUGCUACAUCUUCACAGACUUUCAUGGGCUUGGACCUACGUCAGCUGUGAUGCAUUUUAAGUGGGACCAUGGUCACGUAUCAGAACUGUCGGUAACGCACGGAGAUCAUCUUUGCCAACUCUUCCCUAUGUGCUGCGGGUCUGAACGAGCAUGGCUGUGCAAUACACCAUGUGCUCCCCUCGAGGAGGAAGCGUGGUGACACUGCUGUGUGCCCUGCAGUCUCGCUUGAUAUUCUCCACAAUAAUGCAGUGAGGCAGUGACUGAGAACGGAUUACUAAGUAAUUUGGAGAGCUGCAAAAUGACUGGACUGCAUCCCAAGACUUAGUGAACACACAGCACAACAACUCAAAGGAUUUUUAAACAGUCUACAUGAUUAAACAUGAUGUCCUCUUUUAAGGUUUUUUCCUGUUUAAAUUAAAUAAAAUGGAAAAAUGUUUUUCCUGGGGGAAACAAAGUCGUCUUAUAUCCAUAUUGAAUUCAGUCAAGUAAUUGCAGAUCCUGUACUUUAAUAUCUUGAAUGAAGCAGGAAGUUUCUCUCUGUGCCCAGGGAGAAGGACCAAUGGAGAGAGUUAAUAAUUGCUUAAGGCAAGUUAUUGCUUUUUCACCUUUCUUCCUAUUUCAGUUGCCCAGACUGUGAGCUGAGACUUUCUUACACGCUGCAUAGACUUUCAUAACAAGAAGUUCAUCAGAAAGAGAAAUAGGCUAUAUUGUAAUUUGGGGAUAUAAGUGAAAUAACUUUUAGGGAAAAACAAACAAACAAACAAAAACCUAAACCCAACUGACAAACAAUAAAACCUCUCCAGUUCAAGAUAUCCUAGCACAGAAAGAGUAGCCUAGUUUUAUACGUACAUUUAUCUAUACAUUUUUACUGGACAACCUUUAUAAACAAAGCCUCCAGUCUGCCAAAAAACUGAAGCACACACUGACUACUUAGCUUUAUUGCCAUUAAGACUGCACAAGAAAACUUGAGUCAAAAGGAUAUAAUGUUUUUUUCUUGAAAUUCAAAGGAGCUUUGGCUUUGAUUUUCACUAAAAUGACAGAGGGACUGGUAUUUCUAGAAUAAUGGUAUUUUGUACUCUAUAGCUCUGAAAGCACUGUGCAAAGGUGAAUGUGAAUAAAUAGAGAAGCAGUAGAGAUGGGGGAGAGCAGGAGCACAUAGAUAAGGAAUUGUAUGGCCCACGAUCUUGGUGAACCCAUAGCAGUUCUGAGAACGGAACGCAGGUGUCCUGAUUUCCCAUCUGGUACUUACCUUGUACUGCACUGUCUCUGCCGAAACUAUUCAACUCAUCUGUGGCUUUGCCAACGGAACAUAUAGCUGCUUCCCUAGUGGCUGCCUUUCUAUAAAUGACCUAGAUGAGGGGGAAUACUUGCCAUGAAGAAUUUAAAGAUGGACAAAAUUACAGGAAGAGAGCCAGGUAAUGGAUGUAAGUUGGUUUAGGAUUUGGAAAUCUGUGGAGUUUUUAUAGGAACUGGAACUGUAGUGCACUUGUGUUUGCUGUAGGAUUUACUAGCCACUUGAUGGACUCUGUAGAAGUGAUAUGGUGAGUUAAACGGUGAGUUAAACCUGAGGACAAAGAAGAGCUACAGAAAAUCUCUAGAGUUUCUCCAAGGUGAACCAGCUGUCUUCUUUUUAACUUCUACAUGAGUAUUGGAAUUGGAGACCCAGACAACCUAUUUUCAAACAGUUCCAAUUAUUUAUAUAUCUCGGAUCAACCUUUAUUAUAAGCAGUUAUGUAUUCAGAAUUUUAUGAUCCCAUCAAAAAAGUUAAGUGAUUAACAGCGGCAGGUUUUACUGCAGGUCCUAUAAUUUAUGUAGUCAGACUCAGAUUCAUAGCUUUGUUCUGUCUUCUCCAUCCUAUAAUAUAUUGGUUGUCCAGUGCGGUCUUGAGCCCAGUAAAUCUCUGAAGAGAUCACUCUUGAAAAGUGAGGCUCUCCAAUGUCAUGUAGCAGGCUGUAGGCAAAUCAUGGCUGAAAAAGCAGCAUGUGCAAUGUGUGUGUGCUAGAACAGCCAACAAGGCUGCUUUGGAAGAAACCAGGUUAGAAUGGAAGCUCUUCCAGUUGUAUGAAUGUAUGUAGUAACUUCUGCUCUUAGCCUAGCUAAGAGUAGCAUGUAUGUCAUUGAUAUGCUGAGAGGAUAUAUAUGAAAAAAACAGACUUCGUCUAAUACAUGAAAUGGAAGAUGUUAGAGAGGAAGGAGGAAACUUGGAAAAACACCAAGCUCUGCUCUCUCCUCAACCAGAGGGUGAAAAUAUCUGUCAUUCACAUAUCCUACAACUUUUCUUUAAACUUAAGCUGCUACUCCAGAGUGUUCUUGGCUAUUUAGAAAUCUGUAGAAGAGCAGCUGGAUCAGGUGAGUGUGGCUUCCUCAGAGCCUUGUCUUCAUCUUGCAAUAUCUUAGGCACUGCUUUCCUGAGCUGUUUCAUGGGCCCCUUUUCCUUUAUUGCACAUUGUUUUAUCAACAUAUAGCACACGCAACAGUGGAAUGUCACAUGUGCUCUAUUAAGGUUAACAGAAACAGACCUUUACUCUUUCCUUUUGUCUGUGACCUGAGACUCUGAAAGAGCAGCUUAGUAGGCAUUACUUUAAUUUGCAGUAAAGGAUGUGAUCAAUACCACAGAAUUUGACAUCUAACAACAAUCAAGUUACUUAGUGUGUGGAAUUUAUCUUUUUUUCCAGGAGCUGCCUUCUUUCAGCACAGCAUUAGCAGGCAUUAACUAUACAUCCUAAAUAGAAUUAAAAGUAGCUAUGCCCCUCAUUGCUAUGCCCCCCAUUUCCAGACCAAGUGUCCCAUAUGUGCUAGGAGUUUGUCUUGGCUCUCAUUUUUACCUACAAGAUUUCCGUGUACCACCCUCAACAGUUUUAGAGACAAUCAGUUCUAACAAUUACUUGACACCUCAAGCUUUAGUGGUGGUAGCACAGAAGAGGGAUGAUGUUUUGACCCUUGUCCAGGUUACACGUCUCUACAACUCUCACUAGUGCCCCUUGCUUAUCCCUCUUUAUUUGGGAGACUGUUCUGCCCAUCAUUUUAAUCGUAUGAGGGGCUCUGUGUCCCUGCUUUUGCCAUAGCAUGGUUCCCUGGGAUUUCUUUACACCAGUGGAUCUGUGAACCCUGUAAGCUGCACUCCUUGUUUUAUCUUCCUGAUUCUAACAGAAAUUCUGUCAAUAUCCUCACACUCGCAUGUUGUGGUGCCAAUUUCCUUUUUCCUCAUGUAAGGAAACUGAUACAUACUCUCCCUUCCCUUCUUACCCACAGUUAAUCCCCUAUCCAUUUUUGGUUUAUCUCUCUGGGUUAUCUCAAUAAAAUGAGAAUGGUCCAGACCACAGAUGCAUAAAACAUUGUUUCUGAUGAAGUUACACAAUUAACUGAAUGCACAGUUUACAUGCUACCAUGUGAUGGAUAGAAAAAGUUAAGUUGAACGUACAGUCUUGUUUUGCUCGGCAAACAAAGCAGACAUAACUUACCUCUGAGUUGCAGUGGAAGACGUGCAUUGUAAACUCCUGUUAGCAUCAUGGUGCUGAGAACUGCAGGGCAGCCUCAUUCUCAGCAGGUUUGAGUUGGGUUUUUCCAUCUCCCUUGAACAAAUAAAGAAAAUGUUUGGAAUUGUUUUAAGAACUAAGGCAACUUGGUAAUGAUGGUGUAAUACAGAAGAAAAUAUCUAAAAAAGGAUGUACUGACUUCAGUUCUUUUGGCAGAAAAACCUGAGGCAUCCACAGUUUUCCUUUUGUUUCUCCUGCUUUUGAAGUAUCUUGAAAAAAAAAAAAAAAAAAAGCCAAACCAAAAAAAAGAAAAAAGAAA